CCUCGAAUCAGGUAGGACUACCCGCUGAACUUAAGCAUAUC
rnacentral:rRNA from 3 species